UAGAAGCCUUCUCCAGAUUUUGAAACGAGAGGGAGCCGCCAUUUUUCAGACGUUGGAUAACGGUAAAAGACAAACACUAUCUUGGUCAAUGUCAAGUUUGUGAACAGAAAUUCAUCAGCAUUUCCGAAGUCACAGUGAAAACCUUGGAGUUGGAAAAUGCCACCACGCUAUGUUCCAGACAUGUGUGCAAGAGGAAUCAUCAAUUUCUGUCCGUACCUGAGGAAUCCCCACACUACACUAAACAUGGCUUUGAGCAUAAUUGUGAUGCCCAGAAUGACCUCAGUUGGCGAAUCAAAACUGUUUGGCGAAAAUGCUACGAGAAGAGGAGACAGGGAGAAGAGAGAACAUUAUGGAGGCCCCACUGCACAAAGACUAGCUGCUGCCACUUAACAACUGUCUGACGAAGACUGUGCUGGUGGAAUUCCCCCGUUUUAAAGAUGUCAAGGGCCUGGUUGAGCUGGACUUAAUGGAGAUAUUUGGAGAGGACACUUCACCGAACGGCUCAGCUCCAGGCCCUCAUCGAAAUCUCUGAGGCUUCUGGCCAUGUAAGCAGUGAUGAUGAAGAGGUCGGGAUAGUGCCAUGGCCAGGAUCCUCCUCCUGUUUGUUUCCACUGUCAGCACAGGGCCGCAAACGUCCAGCGAAAAUGUCAGCAGCUGCAGCAUAGAAGCGCCUUGUGAUGUCUCAGAAGACAGGAACCAGUGUACAGCACCACCUGGACACGAUUGCUGAGAGCAGACAUCCCCACCUACCGGGACGAAGAAAAGUCAGGUUCACUGCUACUUCAUCAUACUAGACAUUGCUUGCCAUGCCGUGAGUGCUUUUGACAAACUGUUUAAAGCGGACUAUGUAUUUGCCACAUCCUACAACACCUCACUUUCCAAAAUGUACAUGUUCAACCAGACCUGGGUAGCACUUUCUUGUUGG